rnacentral:tRNA from 1 species
GCCUGGGUGGCUCAGUUGGUUAAGCAUCUGACUUUGGCUCAGGUCAUGAUCUCGCAGUUUGUGAGUUCAAGUCUCGCAUCAGGCU